AUUAGAUGAGCCUAUAUUAGAUUAGCUAGUUGGUGGGGUAAUAGCCUACCAAGGUAAUGAUCUAUAGCUGAUCUGAGAGGAUGAUCAGCCACACUGGAACUGAGAUACGGUCCAGACUCCUACGGGAGGCAGCAGUGGGGAAUAUUGGACAAUGGGCGAAAGCCUGAUCCAGCCAUGCCGCACGAGUGAAGAAGGCCUUUGGGUUGUAAAGCUCUUUUAGUGAGGAAGAUAAUGACGGUACUCACAGAAGAAGUCCUGGCUAACUCCGUGCCAGCAGCCGCGGUAAUACGGAGAGGGCUAGCGUUAUUCGGAAUUAUUGGGCGUAAAGGGCGCGUAGGCUGGUUAAUAAGUUAAAAGUGAAAUCCCGAGGCUUAACCUUGGAAUUGCUUUUAAAACUAUUAAUCUAGAGAUUGAAAGAGGAUAGAGGAAUUCCUGAUGUAGAGGURAAAUUCGUAAAUAUUAGGAGGAACACCAGUGGCGAAGGCGUCUAUCUGGUUCAAAUCUGACGCUGAAGCGCGAAGGCGUGGGGAGCAAACAGGAUUAGAUACCCUGGUAGUCCACGCUGUAAACGAUGAAUGUUAAAUAUGGGGAG
rnacentral:rRNA from 2 species